UUAAGCGACUAAGCGUACACGGUGGAUGCCCUGGCAGUCAGAGGCGAUGAAGGGCGUGCUAAUCUGCGAUAAGCGCCGGUAAGGUGAUAUGAACCGUUAUAACCGGCGAUACCCGAAUGGGGAAACCCAGUGUGACUCGUCACACUAUCAUUAACUGAAUCCAUAGGUUAAUGAGGCGAACCGGGGGAACUGAAACAUCUAAGUACCCCGAGGAAAAGAAAUCAACCGAGAUUCCCCCAGUAGCGGCGAGCGAACGGGGAGGAGCCCAGAGCCUGAAUCAGCAUGUGUGUUAGUGGAAGCGUCUGGAAAGGCGCGCGAUACAGGGUGACAGCCCCGUACACAAAAGCGCAUGUGCUGUGAGCUCGAUGAGUAGGGCGGGACACGUGGUAUCCUGUCUGAAUAUGGGGGGACCAUCCUCCAAGGCUAAAUACUCCUGACUGACCGAUAGUGAACCAGUACCGUGAGGGAAAGGCGAAAAGAACCCCGGCGAGGGGAGUGAAAAAGAACCUGAAACCGUGUACGUACAAGCAGUGGGAGCACCCUUUGGGUGUGACUGCGUACCUUUUGUAUAAUGGGUCAGCGACUUAUAUUCUGUAGCAAGGUUAACCGAAUAGGGGAGCCGGAGGGAAACCGAGUCUUAACCGGGCGUUAAGUUGCAGGGUAUAGACCCGAAACCCGGUGAUCUAGCCAUGGGCAGGUUGAAGGUUGGGUAACACUAACUGGAGGACCGAACCGACUAAUGUUGAAAAAUUAGCGGAUGACCUGUGGCUGGGGGUGAAAGGCCAAUCAAACCGGGAGAUAGCUGGUUCUCCCCGAAAGCUAUUUAGGUAGCGCCUCGUGAAUUCAUCUCCGGGGGUAGAGCACUGUUUCGGCUAGGGGGCCAUCCCGGCUUACCAACCCGAUGCAAACUGCGAAUACCGGAGAAUGUUAUCACGGGAGACACACGGCGGGUGCUAACGUCCGUCGUGAAGAGGGAAACAACCCAGACCGCCAGCUAAGGUCCCAAAGUCAUGGUUAAGUGGGAAACGAUGUGGGAAGGCCCAGACAGCCAGGAUGUUGGCUUAGAAGCAGCCAUCAUUUAAAGAAAGCGUAAUAGCUCACUGGUCGAGUCGGCCUGCGCGGAAGAUGUAACGGGGCUAAACCAUGCACCGAAGCUGCGGCAGCGACACUGUGUGUUGUUGGGUAGGGGAGCGUUCUGUAAGCCUGUGAAGGUGUGUCGUGAGGCAUGCUGGAGGUAUCAGAAGUGCGAAUGCUGACAUAAGUAACGAUAAAGCGGGUGAAAAGCCCGCUCGCCGGAAGACCAAGGGUUCCUGUCCAACGUUAAUCGGGGCAGGGUGAGUCGACCCCUAAGGCGAGGCCGAAAGGCGUAGUCGAUGGGAAACGGGUUAAUAUUCCCGUACUUGGUGUUACUGCGAAGGGGGGACGGAGAAGGCUAUGUUGGCCGGGCGACGGUUGUCCCGGUUUAAGCGUGUAGGUGUGUGUUCCAGGUAAAUCCGGUUCACUUUAACACUGAGGCGUGACGACGAGGCACUACGGUGCUGAAGCAACAAAUGCCCUGCUUCCAGGAAAAGCCUCUAAGCAUCAGGUAACAUCAAAUCGUACCCCAAACCGACACAGGUGGUCAGGUAGAGAAUACCAAGGCGCUUGAGAGAACUCGGGUGAAGGAACUAGGCAAAAUGGUGCCGUAACUUCGGGAGAAGGCACGCUGACACGUAGGUGAAGUGAUUUACUCAUGGAGCUGAAGUCAGUCGAAGAUACCAGCUGGCUGCAACUGUUUAUUAAAAACACAGCACUGUGCAAACACGAAAGUGGACGUAUACGGUGUGACGCCUGCCCGGUGCCGGAAGGUUAAUUGAUGGGGUCAGCGCAAGCGAAGCUCCUGAUCGAAGCCCCGGUAAACGGCGGCCGUAACUAUAACGGUCCUAAGGUAGCGAAAUUCCUUGUCGGGUAAGUUCCGACCUGCACGAAUGGCGUAAUGAUGGCCAGGCUGUCUCCACCCGAGACUCAGUGAAAUUGAACUCGCUGUGAAGAUGCAGUGUACCCGCGGCAAGACGGAAAGACCCCGUGAACCUUUACUAUAGCUUGACACUGAACAUUGAGCCUUGAUGUGUAGGAUAGGUGGGAGGCUUUGAAGUGUGGACGCCAGUCUGCAUGGAGCCGACCUUGAAAUACCACCCUUUAAUGUUUGAUGUUCUAACGUGGACCCGUUACCCGGGUUGCGGACAGUGUCUGGUGGGUAGUUUGACUGGGGCGGUCUCCUCCUAAAGAGUAACGGAGGAGCACGAAGGUUGGCUAAUCCUGGUCGGACAUCAGGAGGUUAGUGCAAUGGCAUAAGCCAGCUUGACUGCGAGCGUGACGGCGCGAGCAGGUGCGAAAGCAGGUCAUAGUGAUCCGGUGGUUCUGAAUGGAAGGGCCAUCGCUCAACGGAUAAAAGGUACUCCGGGGAUAACAGGCUGAUACCGCCCAAGAGUUCAUAUCGACGGCGGUGUUUGGCACCUCGAUGUCGGCUCAUCACAUCCUGGGGCUGAAGUAGGUCCCAAGGGUAUGGCUGUUCGCCAUUUAAAGUGGUACGCGAGCUGGGUUUAGAACGUCGUGAGACAGUUCGGUCCCUAUCUGCCGUGGGCGCUGGAGAACUGAGGGGGGCUGCUCCUAGUACGAGAGGACCGGAGUGGACGCAUCACUGGUGUUCGGGUUGUCAUGCCAAUGGCACUGCCCGGUAGCUAAAUGCGGAAGAGAUAAGUGCUGAAAGCAUCUAAGCACGAAACUUGCCCCGAGAUGAGUUCUCCCUGAGACUUAAAGUCUCCUGAAGGAACGUUGAAGACGACGACGUUGAUAGGCCGGGUGUGUAAGCGCAGCGAUGCGUUGAGCUAACCGGUACUAAUGAACCGUGAGGCUUAACCUU
rnacentral:rRNA from 2 species